GUAGAGGUGUCAAUCUUUUUAACUCUUCUUUGCUGCUACAAGUGAUUCUACUUCUACCCGAAACAUCCACUCCCCUAUAAAGUCCCCAUGUCCAAAAAGAUCCCCUGCCUGUCUAGCAUUUCCUUGACUCUUAUAAUGACAGAUUUCCCUAAACAAUUUCCAAUGUUGGGUGAAAAGAUAGCCCAAAGAAGCCAAAUGGUACCAAUUGCUCUAAUAAUUGCAGCAUAA
rnacentral:lncRNA from 1 species